UUCCUUGAACCGCAUGGUUCAAGGAUGAAAGACGGUUUGCGGCUGUCACUUACAGAUGGACCCGCGGCAGCAUUAGCUAGUUGGUGGGGUAAUGGCUCACCAAGGCGAACCGAUGCGUAGCCGACCUGAGAGGGUGAUCGGCCACACUGGGACUGAGACUAACGGCCCAGACUCCUACGGGAGGCAGCAGUAGGGAAUCUUCCGCAAUGGACGAAAGUCUGACGGAGCAACGCCGCGUGAGUGAUGAAGGUUUUCGGAUCGUAAAGCUCUGUUGUUAGGGAAGAACAAGUGCGAGAGUAACUGCUCGCACCUUGACGGUACCUAACCAGAAAGCCACGGCUUCAACUACGUGCCAGCAGCCGCGGUAAUACGUAGGUGGCAAGCGUUGUCCGGAAUUAUUGGGCGUAAAGGGCUCGCAGGCGGUUUCUUAAGUCUGAUGUGAAAGCCCCCGGCUCAACCGGGGAGGGUCAUUGGAAACUGGGAAACUUGAGUGCAGAAGAGGAGAGUGGAAUUCCACGUGUAGCGGUGAAAUGCGUAGAGAUGUGGAGGAACACCAGUGGCGAAAGCGACUCUCUGGUCUGUAACUGACGCU
rnacentral:rRNA from 1 species